rfam:Citrus clementina cultivar Clemenules unplaced genomic scaffold scaffold_5, whole genome shotgun sequence.
GCCGAUGACGACAUUGGAAUGGUUGACAGACUGCGGGUGUUCUCACUUGCGUUAAUGUUGAAACUCAUGAACUAGGACGGUCUGAGGC